rnacentral:rRNA from 1 species
ACGGUCCUAAGGUAGCGAAAUUCCUUGUCGGGUAAGUUCCGACCUGCACGAAAGGUGUAAUGAUUUGGGCACUGUCUCAACGAGAGACUCGGUGAAAUUAUAAUACCAGUGAAGAUGCUGGUUACCCGCGACAGGACGGAAAGACCCCAUGGAGCUUUACUGUAGCUUGAUAUUGGGUAUCUGUUAAAGAUGUACAGGAUAGGUAGGAGCCAAGGAAGAUAGAACGCUAGUUUUAUCAGAGGCAAUGUUGGGAUACUACCCUUGUUUGAUGGAUACUCUAACCUAGACCUGUAAGCCAGGUCAGGGACAGUGUCAGGUAGGCAGUUUGACUGGGGCGGUCGCCUCCUAAAGAGUAACGGAGGCGCCCAAAGGUUCCCUCAGAAUGGUUGGAAAUCAUUCACAGAGUGUAAAGGUAUAAGGGAGCUUGACUGCGAGAGAGACAACUCGAGCAGGGACGAAAGUCGGGCUUAGUGAUCUGGUGGUACCGCAUGGAAGGGCCAUCACUCAACGGAUAAAAGCUACCCUGGGGAUAACAGGCUUAUCUCCCCCAAGAGUUCACAUCGACGGGGAGGUUUGGCACCUCGAUGUCGGCUCGUCGCAUCCUGGGGCUGAAGUAGGUCCCAAGGGUUGGGCUGUUCGCCCAUUAAAGCGGCACGCGAGCUGGGUUCAGAACGUCGUGAGACAGUUCGGUCCCUAUCCGUCGUGGGCGCAGGAAAUUUGAGAGGAGCUGUCCUUAGUACGAGAGGACCGGGAUGGACAUACCGCUGGUGUACCAGUUGUCUUGCCAAAGGCAUCGCUGGGUAGCUAUGUAUGGACAGGAUAAGCGCUGAAAGCAUCUAAGUGCGAAGCCUCCCUCAAGAUGAGAUUUCCUAUUGCAUAAGCAAGUAAGACACCUCAAAGACUAAGAGGUAGAUAGGCUGGAAGUGGAAGAGUCGUGAGACUCGGAGCAGACCAGUACUAAUCAGUCGAGGACUUGACCAA